rnacentral:rRNA from 1 species
AGAACGAACGCUGGCGGCGCGUUUAAGCAUGCAAGCGAGCGGCAAGGGCCGUCGGGCCCUAGAGCGGCGGACGGGUGAGUAACACGUGGACAAUCUGCCCCCGGCCCGGGAUAGCCCAGGGAAACCUGGAUUAAUACCGGAUGAGACGGGACCCGCGAUGGCGGGACCCGGGAAAGGCGCUGCGGCGCCGCCGGGGGAUGAGUCUGCGUCCCAUUAGCUAGACGGCGGGGUAACGGCCCACCGUGGCGACGAUGGGUAGCCGGCCUGGGAGGGUGGACGGCCACAUUGGAACUGAGACACGGUCCAGACUCCUACGGGAGGCAGCAGCUAAGAAUCUUCCGCAAUGGGCGAAAGCCUGACGGAGCGACGCCCGCGUGAACGAAGAAGGCCGUGAGGUUGUAAAGUUCUUUUCGGGAGGGGGAACAACCGUGGCAGGGAAUGGCCGCGGGAUGACGUGAAUCCCGGAAUAAGCCCCGGCUAACUACGUGCCAGCAGCGGC